ACAAAACAAAGUGAAAUGACUGUUACGUGAAUGCCAGAAUGAGCCUCUCUGAGUAAAAGAAGAACAACUGGGGCAUGCACUACCUUACCUACCUCGAGUUUAAGGGACAUUUGCACAGAGACACUUAAAAGGGGAAUUCAGAAAGGAAACAGUGCUGAACAGAGUCUGAUGCCCAUAAAGACUACAGAGAGAAGUAGGUUGAAAACCAGCUAAGUCACUGGUGUUUCUUGCAGGAGUAGCAAGGAGGUGUUACUGUGGUAUUUAACACAUGAACAAGUAACAGCAAAGAAUGAACCGGAAUAGGCGGGGCUAAUGCUGCGAAAAUUACCUAGCGAAGCCUAUAUUUAGGAGGAAGAGAAGAAUUGGCUCUAUCUGUUUAAUCCUCAGGACAAUGAACUGUGAAGUACUUGGAAUUACAAUCGCAGAGCCCAGGGGCUGGCAGAGUGCUAUUCCCAACUCAAGAGGGUCAAGGACCCAGACACUAGAACAAGCAGACAAGAUAAUACUUGCUAGCCAUCAAAUUCCCACGAGUCAUCAAGAGGAAUAAGGGCAGAACAGAAAGUAGAGAUUCAAGGACUUCUACCGAGGAAUUGGAGAUUUGGGCGAUGGAAUGGGAAAGAAGGUCAACAUCACAACGUGAUGUCCCAGCAUCACAAGAGACAACUGGUGUGAGAUAUGGGAAGACGGAAAUUUCAGUGAUGAUGGAAUCUUCCACUCCACUGGGUACCACACGUGCAUUUCCAUGAGUUUCAACUGCUUCGUUCCUCCAACUAGAAACUUCCAAGUCAUCUGAGAUCCACAUGGGGAAAACGCCUUAUCCUGAGAACCAGCAGUUGACCAGAGGCUUUACACAGCUGACUGGCCUACCUGCCACAGAUGUGCCAAAGUUUUGCAAUUUGUGGUACUUCCUGUCAAUUCCUUGGUGUUCUAAUCAAUGCCUGCCUCCCCCACGUCCCUUGUCACCCUAUGGAACCAGGAAAAGAAUAAAAGUCUGUUAGAUCCCUUGAAGCAGU
rnacentral:lncRNA from 1 species